UAGGGAAUCUUCCACAAUGGACGCAAGUCUGAUGGAGCAACGCCGCGUGAGUGAAGAAGGCUUUCGGGUCGUAAAACUCUGUUAUUGAAGAAGAACGUGUGUGACAGUAACUGGUCAUGCAGUGACGGAUAUUCAAUCAGAAAGUCACGGCUAACUACGUGCCAGCAGCCGCGGUAAUACGUAGGUGGCAAGCGGUUAUCCGGAUUUAUUGGGCGUAAAGCGAGUGCAGGC
rnacentral:rRNA from 1 species